UGGGAAUUUUGGACGAAUUGGGCGAAAGCCUGAAUCCAGCAAUGCCGCGUGUGUGAAGAAGGCCUUCGGGUUGUAAAGCACUUUUGUCCGGAAAGAAAUCCUUGGCUCUAAUACAGUCGGGGGAUGACGGUACCGGAAGAAUAAGCACCGGCUAACUACGUGCCAGCAGCCGCGGUAAUACGUAGGGUGCAAGCGUUAAUCGGAAUUACUGGGCGUAAAGCGUGCGCAGGCGGUUUGCUAAGACCGAUGUGAAAUCCCCGGGCUCAACCUGGGAACUGCAUUGGUGACUGGCAGGCUAGAGUAUGGCAGAGGGGGGUGAGAAUUCCACGUGUAGCAGUGAAAUGCGUAGAGAUGUGGAGGAAUACCGAUGGCGAAGGCAGCCCCCUGGCAAGUACUGACGCUCAUGCACGAAAAGCGUGGGGAGCAAAACGGAUUUAAUNCCCUGGUAGUCCACGCCCCUAAAANGAUGU
rnacentral:rRNA from 1 species